rnacentral:rRNA from 1 species
AACGAACGCUGGCGGCGCGCCUAACACAUGCAAGUCGAACGAGAAGGCGUAGCAAUACGCUUGUAAAGUGGCGAACGGGUGAGGAAUACGUGGGUAACCUACCCUCGAGUGGGGAAUAACCAACCGAAAGGUUGGCUAAUGCCGCGUACGCUUCCAUCUCUUCGGAGGUGGAAGGAAAGCUGUACCGUGGGUACAGCGCUCAAGGAUGGGCUCACGUCCUAUCAGCUUGUUGGUAGGGAACGGCCUACCAAGGCAACGACGGGUAGCUGGUCUGAGAGGACGAUCAGCCACACUGGCACUGCGACACGGGCCAGACUCCUACGGGAGCAGCAGUGAGGAAUAUUGCGCAAUGGGCGAAAGCCUGACGCAGCGACGCCGCGUGGGGGAUGAAGGUCUUCGGAC